rnacentral:rRNA from 1 species
UACAGAGGUGGCAAGCGUUGUUCGGAAUUACUGGGCGUAAAGGGCGCGUAGGCGGCUCGACAAGUCCCGCGUGAAAGCCCCCGGCUCAACUGGGGAACUGCGCGGGAAACUGUCGGACUUGAGUUCGGGAGAGGGAAGCGGAAUUCCGGGUGUAGCGGUGAAAUGCGUAGAUAUUCGGAAGAACACCAGUGGCGAAGGCGACUUACUGGGCACAUAUUGACGCUGAGGUGCGAAAGCGUGGGGAGCAAACAGG